rnacentral:rRNA from 1 species
UCGAACCUAAAUCCGAAAAGGAACAACUUGUGAACACGUAAUUACACAUGCGGUGCGUGGGGACUUUAACCGGUCCUAACGCUCGCCUAGUCCGUAGGUCACAUGUGCAGACAAACGGGUACAUACUUGUUUGAAUGUACAUGGUCCUGUCGNAAUUCACAAACCCSGGCGCGGAAAGCGUCAAGACCAAUUAMCGAAACAGCUCACCCCGAAUGCAACCUAUUAGGUUCGUUUUUGUGUGUGUCGCUGCGAUCAUAAGUCUGAAAUGACUCUCGGCAACGGAUAUCUCGGCUCUCGCAUCGAUGAAGAACGUAGCGAAAUGCGAUACUUGGUGUGAAUUGCAGAAUCCCGUGAACCAUCGAGUUUUUGAACGCAAGUUGCGCCCUAAGCCGUUAGGCCGAGGGCACGCUUGCCUGGGUGUCACGCAUCGUCAUCUCCCCCACGCGGCUAAGCUUUUGCUUGGGUGAUUAAGGAGAAGGAGAUUGGUCUCCCGUGUGAUACUGCACGCGGUUGGCCUAAAAUCUAGGCAAGGGGGCGUGAAGCUUACCUGACGAGCGGUGGUGUGUAGAUGCCUCGUCAGGUCCGGGUUGCCUUUUCGUCCCAACGGAGUCUAAGACCCUUUAAGUGUCGCUUGCGCGACUCUUCGAACGCGACCCCAGGUCAAGUGGGA